AUGGCUCUUGAAGCAGCCCAGCACUACCUGCAGCUCGCCGUCGGCCAUGGCAUGUCCUCGCCGGCGGCACUGCUCCUUGUCGUUGUUCCCUUACUGCUGUUACUGCUAGCAUCAGUAAGAACCUCAGCGUCCACAAGAAAGCUGCGGCUCCCGCCUUCGCCUCCGGGCAGCCUUCCCAUCAUCGGUCACCUCCACCACAUCGGCGUCCAGACCCACAUCUCCCUCCAGCACCUGGUCGACAAGUACGGCCACAACGGCCUCCUCUUCCUCCGCGCCGGCGCCGUGCCCACCGUCAUCGUCUCCUCGCCCAGCGCCGCCGAGGCUGUCAUGCGCACGCACGACCACAUCCUCGCGUCCCGCCCGUGGUCCAUGGCCUCGCACAUCCUGCGCUACAACACCACCGACGUCGCUUUCUCACCCUUGGGCGAGUAUUGGCAGCACACCAGGAAGCUCGUCAACACCCAUCUCCUCAGCGCCAAGAAGGUGCACUCCUUCCGCCAUGGCCGUCAAGAAGAGGUGUGCCUCGUCGUCAACAAGAUUCACGAGGCGGCCACCAACGCUCCAUCCACGGCGGUGGACAUGAGCGAGUUCCUGGCCGCCUACACCAACGAUGUCGUAAGCCGCUCGGUGCUGGGAGCAACCCACCGGAAGAAAGGCCGCAACACGCUCUUCAGAGAGAUGACCGAGACCAACGUUGACCUUCUCGUGGGAUUCAACCUUGAGAACUUCAUCCCUAGGUGGCCAUUGACGGAGGUGCUCUUCAGGCUGGUCUGCUGGAAGGUUCAGCGACACCUCAACAAGUGGGACGCCUUGCUGGAAGAGGUCAUCAAGGAACACAUAAACUUGAAGCAAGAUAAUUCUGCCGACUUCAUCCAUGUUUUCCUCUCUCUACAGCAAGAGUACGGUCUCACCGACGAUAACGUCAAGUCCCUCUUGAUGAACAUAUUUGAGGCAGCCAUAGAAACAUCGUAUUUGGUGCUGGAAUACGCCAUGGCUGAGCUUAUCAACAACAGACAUGUUAUGAAGAAACUUCAAACCGAGGUAAGGACGUUUGCAUCAUCCAAGGGCAAAAGGUUGGACAUGAUUACGGAGGAGGACCUCAGCAGCCUGCCCUACCUAAAGGCAACCAUGAAAGAGGCCCUGCGCUUGCACCCACCAGGGCCUUUACUCCUCCCACACUACUCCACCGCUGACUGCAACAUCGACGGAUACGACAUACCCGCCAAAACACGUAUCCUUGUGAACGGUUGGGCCAUCGGGAGAGACCCAAAAGCUUGGGAGAGACCAGAGGAUUUCAUGCCGGAGAGGUUCCUACAAGAUGGUCAGGAGAAAUCUAGCAACCUGGGUCAAGAUUUUAAGUAUCUGCCAUUUGGAUCCGGACGCAGGAUUUGCCCCGGGGCAAAUUUCGCACUUGCAACAAUGGAGAUCAUGCUAGUAAAUCUCAUGUACCAUUUUGAUUGGGAGGUUCCCAAUGAGAGAGAGGGUACUGGUGGAAAGGUUAGUAUGGCCGAGACGUUCGGGCUGAUGCUUCGCCGAAAUGAGAAACUCUACCUUGUUCCAAAGAUUGUCUAA
rnacentral:rRNA from 1 species